AGAACAUUCGGUGUCCUUCCAACUCACCAGUAUGAAAAAGGGCAGGGAUGAAUCAUCUUGUAAACACAUUCUCUACACAAAAAUUGGGUGUAGAGAGGCAUGACUAAAAGGGUUCUCUAAUGCAGUGAUAUGUCCUGGCUGACUGUGUUCACCUGUUCUGUUUCUCCUUUAAAGGCCCUGGGUCGUUGACCGGAAGAUGGGGGGUUCAAGCCCCAACCCCGCCAAGUUGCCACUGUUGGGCCCUUGAGCAAGGCCCUUAACCCUCUCUGCUCCAGGGACGCUGUAUCAUGGCUGACCCUGCGCUCUGACCCCAACCUCCAAG